AACGAACGCUGGCGGCAUGCCUAACACAUGCAAGUCGAACGAGACCUUCGGGACUAGGGGCGUACGGGUGCGGCACCCGAGGGAGUAUGCCCCCAGGUUGGGAGUAGCUCCCCGAAAGGGGUGGUAAUACCGGAGAAUGUCUUCGGACCAAAGAUUUCUCGCCUUUGGAUGGGCCCGCGUUGGAUUAGCUAGUUAGUAGGGUAAAAGCCUACCAAGGCGACGAUCAAUAGGUGGUCAGAGAGGAAGAGCCGCCACACUGGGAUUGAGACACGGCCCAGACUCAUACGGAAGGCGGCAGUGCCGAAAAUUGGACCAGGGGCGAAAGGCUGAUCGAGCAAUGCCGCGUGAGUGAUGAAGUCCUUAGGGUUGUAAAGCUCUUUUACCCGGGAUGAUACUGACAGUACCGCGAGAAUAAGCUCCGGCUAACUCCGUG
rnacentral:rRNA from 1 species